ACCUUUAAAUUUACAGCCUGAAUUAGGCUAGUGGCUGGUGACUUUUAGGUCGUCAUCAGCCU
rnacentral:sRNA from 1 species